AUUUAAGUAAUUUAAAUAUAAAAUUUUGAUUUGUGGUAUCAAAAAUGUAAAAAUUUUUACCUUAA
rnacentral:tRNA from 1 species